rnacentral:rRNA from 1 species
GUAGGUGGCAAGCGUUGUCCGGAAUUAUUGGGCGUAAAGCGUGCGCAGGCGGUUCUUUAAGUCUGAUGUGAAAGCCCACGGCUCAACCGUGGAGGGUCAUUGGAAACUGGAGAACUUGAGUACAGAAGAGGAAAGCGGAAUUCCACGUGUAGCGGUGAAAUGCGUAGAGAUGUGGAGGAACACCAGUGGCGAAGGCGGCUUUCUGGUCUGUAACUGACGCUGAGGCGCGAAAGCGUGGGGAGCAAACAGGGAUUAGAUACCCUGGUAGUCCACGCCGUAAACGAUGAGUGCUAAGUGUUAGGGGGGGUUUCCGCCCCCUUAGUGCUGCAGCUAACGCAUUAAGCACUCCGCCUGGGGAGUACGGCCGCAAGGCUG